UUGCUAUCUGCGAUAUGGAAGAUUCGAACCUGCCGCAGGUUCGGGUCGAACGCAGUGAGACAACGGAGCCGUUUACGGCGACGGCCCGAAGGGCGAGCGAAGCGAGUCAUCCUGC
rnacentral:sRNA from 1 species